AGCUCCAAUAGCGUAUAUUAUUGAUGUUGCAGUUGAAACGUUCGUAGUCGAUUUUUAUCCGUUGGGGCUUUUUGUACGCUUUCGAGGUGUCAAUUAGCUAUGCUGCGGAGACAUUUCACUGGUACUCAUAUGUUUCAUAUGUGUGCUUAGUGAUGGUACUUUGAGUGAAUCGGCGUGUUCCACGCAGGCUCUUCGCCUUGGACGUUUCACCAUAGUAUACUUAGACUGUGAGUCUUUACAGAUGUGAGAACGGUUCAGGGCAUUCGUAUUCAACUGCCAGAGGUGAAAUUCUAUGACUAGUUGAGGACGAACCAUUGCGAAAGCAUCUGCCAGGGACGUUUCUG
rnacentral:rRNA from 1 species